rnacentral:rRNA from 1 species
AAGAAAUUCGAUUCCGUAAGUAGCGGCGAGCGAACGCGGAAUAGCCCAAACCAAUAAAGUUUUCUUUAUUGGGGUUGCGGACAUAUCUUAAACGAAGAGGUAUCGUAAUUGAAGAGGUUUGGAAAGACCCACCACAGAAGGUAAUAGUCCUGUAUGUCAAACGAGAAAACUUCAGAUAUGAUCCAGAGUACCACGGGACACGUGAAACCCUGUGGGAAGCAGGAGGGACCACCCUCCAAGGCUAAAUACUACCUAGUGACCGAUAGCGUAUAGUACCGUGAGGGAAAGGUGAAAAGAACCCCGGGAGGGGAGUGAAAUAGAACCUGAAACCCUGCACUUACAAGCUGUGGAAGCACAUUUCUUGUGUGACCGCGUACUUUUUGUAGAAC